GGGGCGACAGCAAUAUGAAGGUCAGGCUGAAGACCUUACCCGAUUAGCUGAGAGGUGGUGCAUGGCCGUCGUCAGUUCGUACUGUGAAGCAUCCUGUUAAGUCAGGCAACGAGCGAGACCCACGUCCACAGUUGCCAGCAUACCCUCCGGGGUGAUGGGUACACUGUGGAGACCGCCGCUGCUAAAGCGGAGGAAGGAGUGGGCAACGGUAGGUCAGUAUGCCCCGAAUCUCCCGGGCUACACGCGGGCUACAAUGGUUGGUACAAUGGGCAUCUACCCCGAAAGGGGAAGGAAAUCUCUUAAAGCCAAUCGUAGUUCGGAUUGAGGGCUGCAACUCGCCCUCAUGAAGCUGGAAUCCGUAGUAAUCGCGUUUCAACAGAACGCGGUGAAUACGUCCCUGCUCCUU
rnacentral:rRNA from 1 species